rnacentral:rRNA from 1 species
GACGAAGGUGGCAAGCGUUGUUCGGAUUCACUGGGCAUAAAGGGCGCGUAGGCGGUUCCGAAAGUGGCAUGUGAAAUCCCCCGGCUCAACCGGGGAAGUGCGUGCCAAACUUCGGUGCUAGAGGGCGGUAGGGGGGACUGGAACUCUCGGUGGAGCGGUGAAAUGCGCAGAUAUCAGGAGGAACACCGGUGGCGAAGGCGGCUCUCUGGAACGGUACUGACGCUGAGACGCGAAAGCGUGGGGAGCGAACAGG